GACGAACGCUGGCGGCGUGCCUAAUACAUGCAAGUAGAACGCUGAAGAGAGGAGCUUGCUCUUCUUGGAUGAGUUGCGAACGGGUGAGUAACGCGUAGGUAACCUGCCUUGUAGCGGGGGAUAACUAUUGGAAACGAUAGCUAAUACCGCAUAACAAUGGAUGACACAUGUCAUUUAUUUGAAAGGGGCAAUUGCUCCACUACAAGAUGGACCUGCGUUGUAUUAGCUAGUAGGUGAGGUAACGGCUCACCUAGGCGACGAUACAUAGCCGACCUGAGAGGGUGAUCGGCCACACUGGGACUGAGACACGGCCCAGACUCCUACGGGAGGCAGCAGUAGGGAAUCAUCGGCAAUGGGGGCAACCCUGACCGAGCAACGCCGCGUGAGUGAAGAAGGUUUUCGGAUCGUAAAGCUCUGUUGUAAGUCAAGAACGAGUGUGAGAGUGGAAAGUUCACACUGUGACGGUAGCUUACCAGAAAGGGACGGCUAACUACGUG
rnacentral:rRNA from 1 species